AUUGAACGCUGGCGGCAGGCCUAACACAUGCAAGUCGAACGGUAACAGGAAACAGCUUGCUGUUUCGCUGACGAGUGGCGGACGGGUGAGUAAUGUCUGGGAAACUGCCUGAUGGAGGGGGAUAACUACUGGAAACGGUAGCUAAUACCGCAUAACGCCGCAAGACCAAAGAGGGGGACCUUCGGGCCUCUUGCCAUCGGAUGUGCCCAGAUGGGAUUAGCUAGUAGGUGGGGUAACGGCUCACCUAGGCGACGAUCCCUAGCUGGUCUGAGAGGAUGACCAGCCACACUGGAACUGAGACACGGUCCAGACUCCUACGGGAGGCAGCAGUGGGGAAUAUUGCACAAUGGGCGCAAGCCUGAUGCAGCCAUGCCGCGUGUAUGAAGAAGGCCUUCGGGUUGUAAAGUACUUUCAGCGGGGAGGAAGGGAGUAAAGUUAAUACCUUUACUCAUUGACGUUACCCGCAGAAGAAGCACCGGCUAACUCCGUG
rnacentral:rRNA from 1 species